AUACUUACCUGGUAGGGGAGAUACCAUGAUCACGAAGGUGGUUUCUCCAGGGCGAGCUUAUCCAUUGCACUCUGGAUGUGCUGACCCCUGUGAUUUCCCCAAAUGUGUGAAACUCUGUUGCAUAAUUAAUUUGUGGUAGUGGGGGACUGUGUUCGCGCACUCUCCUA